rnacentral:tRNA from 1 species
GACAACGUGGCCGAGUGGUUAAGGCGAUCGCCUGCUACUUCCCCAGAGUAGCGGUUGGGUUUUACCCGCGCAGGUUCGAAUCCUGCCGUUGUCG